rnacentral:lncRNA from 1 species
AGCUCAUCCAGGGGAAAUGUAUUCAGCCUCUCACCUUGCCCUAUUCUUAUUUAGGCCAGCUAAAAUCAAUUUAAGAUGAUGGUGAGUUUGCCAAGAAUCCCAAGACAGCAGAACCCUGAAAGCCGACCUGUUGAAAAAUCUUUGAUCGUGAAAUACAGCCAAUGCAAGUCUUGUCAUGUCACUGUUUAUCCCCAUGCUCCCAUCCCUGUCUUUAAGGAUGAAUCCAAUGGCGACAAGAAAGUUUUGUGAGAAAAAAAAAAAAAAAGCCCAUGUGGGCCUUUUCAAAGCACAAGUCUGGUGAUUCUUUCUGGUACACAUUUUUUUCCGAGAUUUCAGUUCAUAAGGACAACAUCAACAACAACAGAACAAAAGGAGAAUGGAAUAAACUGACCAAACCCACCGCCACAAAAAAAACCAGGCUCACAGAGGCAUCACCUGACCUUGCGUGUGUGGGAGAGAGUGUCUCCCAGACAUGAGUAGAAAUCCCAACCACCAGUGCAGCCUCAUCUAGCACCAGGUGUUUGUAACUGGUUGAAGAGGGCUGGGUCUGAUCAGCUGCCCCAGCUGUGGUUGGAAACUGGUCUUCCUCGAAUGUGCGGCCUUGGAAUACUUCCAGUAGAUACAGCCUUUCAGGCACUGUAACCUCAAACCUGAGCUGGGAAUGAGGUCAUGACAAAACUCAGCCUCAAGAUGCAGGAAAAUGAGUGAGGAUUAAGAACAGUUUCAGAUGAUGGUGAAGUCAAACUCCCGGCCAGAGAGAGUUAGGGUGGAGUCAGUUUAAAGACAACAUGGAGGCCCGGGAGUUUGCCCUGGCAGAGGGCUUGGGGCCGGUGUGGAUGGAGGAGCACUUCAUCACCCCCCUGGUGGAAUGUCGCAGGCCAUCCCAAGCCCCCUCGAUGGGGUUGAAACGGAAUGAGGAAGUAUCUGAAUGUGGAAUAGACUGGGGUAUGAGAAGAAUGCUGUGACAGGAGUGUCUAGGCCUCCAUCUGCUCACCUGAAUGGUGAGAACAAUACCCAAUUGCAAGAAAACACAACGAGCUGAAUUGUGUCACUCUGAAACAUCACCCAACAUACUGAGUGGAUACCAUACAUCAGGCACUGCACUAGGCAGGGUGGGGCAAGAGAAGAUGAAUGGGACCCUCCUCCUGCUCUCAAGACCUAUUAGGGAAGAUGCAAAAUGGAUUGACAUACUACAUGAGAAGGUACAGUAAAAUGACAUGUUACUUAUUUGCUCUCAGUGUUUUUCUUUCUUUAUAAAAUGGGGAUAGUAACACCAUCUGCCUUGGAGGGUGGGUUUGAAGGUUAAACAGAAAAACCCAUAUGUUUAAUGCACUACCUGAUGUGUAAUAGUCAAUGUUAUGCACCAACAUCUUCAUCAUCACCAUCAUUUGGAAAAGGAAAGUGUCAGACUUUGGAUGACAUUUGGCGUGAACUUUGAUGGCUGGAUUUUGGCAGAUUGUGGG